AUAGGUCGGAGCUGAACUGAACCAAGUUGGAAGAACUAAUAAGUUUGCGAAACUCAAUCCAAAUAGAGCUCCAACACAACUAAAACCUCCAAAUCCAACUUCCCACUAUUUUUCUCAGAUUUCUUUCAUUCUCUGCAGAUCCAGAGGUUCAUUCAAGGCUUAAUUUUUGUGCCUCUUGUUUUUCUAUCUUUCCCACCUUUCCCUUUAACCCCAUUUACUUAAAAUAGUAAACUUUAUUACUUUCUGAAGUUCAUUUACUGUAAAAACAAGAACCCCAAAAAAGAAGAAGCAUAAAGUUAGUCACUUUUCAAUUUUCAAGAUUGUUAUUAGCAUCUGUAUAUCUCUUUUGGGGUUUGUAAAGAUUCAAUUUUUUCAAUUCUUGGGUGUCAAAAAACUAAGUAUUGGAAGGUGGGGAGGGGGGUGGGGAGUUUUGGUGGGAGGGGGGGGGGGGUGAGGUAGGUUAGUGCAAUCUGUAAAGAUUCAAUUUUUACAAUUUUUGGGUGUCAAAAACUAAGUAUUGGAUCCACCUUGUGGGGAGAAGGGGUUGGGGUGGGGGGGGGGGUAGUUUUGUGCAAUCUUAGUUAAGUAGGUAAUGAAGAAGUAUAUAUUAUCAAGAAAAGUGGGAAGGAAAAAAUGGGCUGGAUUUCUGCUGAUUUUUGUUCUUGCAAUAGUCUUGUUCACUAGAUAUAGCAAUGUCGGAAAAUCAUACAGCAGUAGUGUAGGAGAAUCUCCAAAAAAGCAAUCAGCUUAUGAGUUUUUCAAUAACAAUAAUAAUGAAGGUUCAAAUGAUGUUGUAGAUGAAAAUGUCAAAUUGCCUGAAUCAAAAUCAGUAGUAGAGCUAGUUACUUUUAAGGAAAAACCGCGUCUUAUUAACGUCGAAGGGCUUAAUGAACUAUACAGCUUGAGUUAUAAUGUUUCAAAGGAAGAGUCUAAGGCACUGUUAGUAUGGGAUAAGAUGAGAUUGUUGUUAUCGAGAUCAGAUGUUUUGAAUGGAACUGCUCAAGGAGUUAAAGAGGCUGCUUUAGCAUGGAACGAUUUGCUGUCGUUUAUUGAGAAAAGGAAGGCUACUGAAUCUUUUGAGAAGCAAAAUGAGGAUUGCCCUUAUUCUGUGACUGCAUUUAAUGCAACGACGUCGAGGGAUGGGAGCAAUCUUAGGAUCCCUUGUGGCUUAGUUGAGGAUUCAUCUAUUACUGUGAUAGGCAUACCUGAUGCAAAACAAGAAAGUUUUCAAAUUGAGCUUGUGGGCACGAAACUUCCUGCGGAAUUAAAGCCUCCUAUAGUUUUGAACUAUAAUGUAAUUUUGCCCGGGGAAAACUUGACGAAGGAGCCACUUAUCACUCAGAAUACGUGGACUGAUGAAUUAGGAUGGAGUAAGGUGGACAAAUGCCCUGAUCAUGGCUCUACCGACGUGAUAAAAGGUAAAUCAUACAAAAGAAUUUGCGUGCAUCUUUUCAUCUUUUAAUUUGUGUUCAUUCAGAGAAGAAACUGUUACAUGUGAUCUUGGAUAUCUUUAUUAGAGAUAGUCUUCUGUCUUAGAUGUUAUCUUACUUGCUACAAGGUUUUUUUUAACGAGGGAUUCAUGCUACUUGUGGCUCUUUACAGUUUAUAAGGUGCAUUGAGUGAAUUGCAACCCUUUUCUAAAUAAUAUUUGAUGUUGCAAGCAGAGGUGGAGCCAGGAUUUGAAGGUUAUGGGUUCGGAAUUCUAAUCAUGUUAAGUUAUUAGGUUCUAAAUUAAUAAUUAGUAUAUAUUCAAUGAAUUUCAUAAGACAAAUAUAGAGUUUGGACCAAAACUACUGUGUUCGGCUGAAUCUGUAGCUGAUGGGUAGCUCCGCCCCUAGUUGCAAGCUCUUCAAAUUAUGAAGUGAGCAUCUCACCAUUUGUGUGAAAAGAAAUUGUUCCGGUCAUGCUAUUUGGUAAGUCAUAUCACCAUUUGCAUAUUGGAGAAAGUUAUAUGGAGUUAUAAUGCCUUUAGUCAGUAGAUGAACUGCCCCUUUUUUAUUUAUUUAAUCUUGACAUCAUAUAAUGAUAGCAUGUAACUUGGCCAAGGUAAUUUCUACUUAUCGCAGUGUAUCCUGUGAAAUGUCUUAGUUCUCUAUUCUUACCAGAAGCAAAUAGGGCAGUAGCGCUUUAGCAAGCGUAAACCUUCUUCAGUGUCCAAUAUUCUAAAUAAACAUCCAGUAGUAGUUGAUCACGCCCAACUAUACCUUAUAAAAAGGACAAGUGAUCAUUGUAAAUAUAAUCCGAGUAUUUAGUCCAGAGUCGAAUCUCACAGGGAAUUAACCUACCAAUUACUCUUGCCAUACUCACUGUAUUCUUCGUAAUCAACUUUCCAGAUAUUGUGAAUAACAAUUGGUGAUGUUUUUACUAGCUAUAACUGAAUAAAAUUAAGUAAACUAAAAGCUAACUAUGAUUGAGCUCUAAACAAAUAAGAGAAGGAUCUAAGGUUGUGAUUUCCCCCUAUUGAUGGAAUCCCUUCCUGUUAUGUUUCGCAUAGAGUUGCCUAAUCGUCUCUAUCAGUCAUGGGCACUCUUAUUACCGUAAAUCUCUCCCGAGUAAUUACGACAAUUUACUAGACGCACUCUCCCGAGUUAUGCUAGCUGGCUUUUAUUACAGCUCACUUUAGAUCGCACCCAAGGUUUCGUUAUCUCUAAUCCCACUUUAAACCCUCGGUUAUUGAUUCCUCAUAUACUUUNNNNNNNNNNNNNNNNNNNNNNNNNNNNNNNNNNNNNNNNNNNNNNNNNNNNNNNNNNNNNNNNNNNNNNNNNNNNNNNNNNNNNNNNNNNNNNNNNNNNNNNNNNNNGAGAUUAAACUGGGCAAACUAUAUUAACAUAACACGAAGUUCAUCCUUCAACAGGUUGCAUCAAAACCCUAGACUAAAUAAUUAGCUACUCAUAAUCGUGUUCAUAAUAACAACAAAAUUCAUCAUGAAUGAUAAAUACAAAAGGAAGUAAGAUAUAACUCGACGUCGAAUUAUCCUCCUUGCCUCUUGCCUCUUCUUGCCUUCAACUAAGCUGUAAAAACCUUGAUAAUGUCUCUUUGGGCGAGCUGGACCUCUUAUAGGUUAAGUGGAAUUACCCCAAACUUCCAAGUUUACCCCUGAAAUUAUGUGCUCCGAACUGGACUAGCGCGGUCGCGCUCGUGCCCGCGCAUAUUGCGUAACAUUCUGCCUCGAUUUUUUGGGCUAGCGCGGUCGUGCUAAGCUGGUUCAUCUUUUUAUCUCUUCUUUUCUCUCUUCUUUCACACGUACUCAGCUCCGAGGGGCUUCCCUUGCUUUAAUUUAGCUCCAAACACUGUCCUAAGUCCUCAUAAGCGCAACUCGCUCCUGCAAAAUAUGAAAUUCACAAUUAGAGCCAAUUUAUCCUAUCCUAGAACAGUGAAGCAUAGUGAAGUUGGGGCAUAAAUGGUAGCCAAACUAUAUAAAUCUAGCCUAUUAUUAGUAGUUAGCAGCACCUUAUUGUUUCCAUUGCUCCUUAUGACAUAGUAAUCUGACAUAUUCUUCCUACAUAUAUCAGUUGACGGACUAGUCAAGUGCAAUGCCAAAAUUUUCCGAAAUAAUGUUGAGGAAAUUGCAAAUUUGACCAGUCCAAAGUCCACGGAUGUGUCAAAUGCUAGUGCCUACGGCACAGCCAAUUACCCUUUUCUUGAAGGUAAUCCAUUUACUGCAACACUAUGGGCCGGUAUAGAGGGGUUUCAUAUGACAGUCAACGGAAGACACGAGACUUCUUUUGCAUAUAAAGAGGUAAGUGUUUGUAGAUUCAGCGAUAUCACUGAGCUUUAUUAUCUUUUAGAACUGUCGCCAGAAGUUAAUGGAUAACUCCUUUUAUACUGCUGUUUUCACAAAUGCAGAAACUCGAACCUUGGUUGGUUAGUGGAGUCAAUGUGAUAGGUGGUUUGAACAUCAUAUCGAUCUUAGCCAAAGGAUUACCUGUUUCCAAUGAUUUGGACUUGGGUUUUGAUGUUGAGGACCUCAAAGCUCCCCCAACUCCUAAAAAGAGGCUCGUCAUGUUAAUUGGGGUUUUCUCUACUGGAAACAAUUUUGAGAGACGUAUGGCACUGAGAAGAACAUGGAUGCAAUAUGAAGCUGUGCGCUCGGGAGAAGUAGCUGUCCGAUUUUUUAUUGGUCUUGUAAGUGAAGCAUUCAAAUGGAAAUAGUUAUUAUGUCCCUAAUUUUCAUAUUCUUAGCAUCUAUUUCAAGUACUCAAUAUAGUUUAGUAACAUUGCUAAAGUCCUCCUUCGAUCAUUUUCAAUGGCUUGGUUCUUCUGAUAGAUUUUAUCAGAUCUUGAAUCAAGUUACUCAUUUGUUGUAGUAAAUAAAAUUACGUGUCAACUGCUCUUUGUUCCUGAUAAUGUCUGAUUAGCGGACAAUAGGAAGAGUCCAAAUCAAGCACUCUUAUUCUUGUUUAGCCAUUGUUGCUCAAUUAUUGUGUCUGACCAUUUUUCUUUGCUUUAUUUGAAAACAAAUGCAGGACAAAAAUAGGCAGGUCAACUUUGAGCUAUGGAAGGAAGCACAGGCCUAUGGAGAUGUCCAAUUAUUGCCUUUUGUUGAUUACUACAGCCUGCUCACUUUGAAGACUAUCGCAAUUUGCAUUAUGGGUGUAUGGACUUUUCAACUAUAUAUGAAUACAAGAUAGAAUUAUUUGUUUAUGAAUUAUCAGAGAGAAAUACAUAGUGAUCGGAACGAUUUGUAGAAUAAUAUCUGGCUAAAGCAUUACUGUACUUAAAUUGCAGGUUAAAAUCCUACCUGCCAAAUAUGUUAUGAAGACGGAUGACGAUGCUUUUCUGAGGAUUGAUCAAGUUCUAUCAAGCCUCAAGGGAAAGGAUCCUAAUGGUCUAUUAUAUGGUGGAAUAUCUUUCGAGUCAGCACCCCAUAGGGAAAAAGAUAACAAGUGGUACAUCAGUGCCGAGGUAUUCUAUUUCUAAACUCGUAUCUUCUCAGCAUGUUAUAAUCUUCCUUAAUCACAUUUUCGUUCUGCAGGAAUAUCCGCCUUCCUCCUAUCCCCCUUGGGCGCAUGGACCAGGUUAUAUUAUUUCUCGAGAUAUAGCUAAGUUCAUUGUUCAGGGCCAUCAAGAAAGGGAACUAAUGGUAAUACUCAUUUGAUAUUGUUAUGAAACAAAUUCUACUCUUUCUUUUUGACCUGAUCUUUCUGUCUUCUUACCAUGGAGUACUACAAAGAUAUAGUUAGUUCUAAAACAUAUGACUCCUAGGAGAAAGGUGAAUAAUUGUAGAAUCUAAAAAUGAAACGAGAGUUAUAUGAUUAAUCCCAUCCUGUUCCAGGAUAGGUGGCUGAUACUAAAAUAAUAAGUGAAGUUGUCGUCGUCUGACCAAAUUGCUGGGACACCAGACCGCCCGUGGCCACCCAUUUUGUCUUGUCUCUUAGUUACGCUGCGCCCGAACCCGAGUCCCCACGUCCGUUUUUCUACACCCGCAACCCAAUAAGUUGGCAAAGCCAGCACAAGAUUAGGGCCGUCCCCUUCAUUCUCUGCUGACCCUGGCCUGGGCUGGCUUCUUGGGGAGCCUGUUAUGCCUGAAGAUACAGAGAAGUGUACGCUUAUAAGAAAGAAAAAGAAGCAAGAAAAUGAGGAAGAAUAAGUGAAAAGGCAUUUGUAUCUAGUAGGUAUCCGAUGGAGCAAUCGAUGUGUAAGCAAGCUGGUCUGACUACCGCUAUUAUCAAACAAGAAAAAAAAAACCAUUUGUAUCAUUAAUAGAAAAGAGCGCAUUAGACUUUCUAAUGCUAAAAUUCCGUUCAAAAUGCUAAAUUUGUUCGUUGCUUUUUGUGUAUAAUGUUGUUUUCUUGUGUAUAUCUUGUGUUGUUGCCAGCUUUUUAAACUCGAGGAUGUUGCUGUGGGCAUAUGGGUUGAGGAAUUCAGGAGGAAGGGUAACAAAGUACAGUACGUCGACGAUGAUAGAUUUCACAAUGCUGGUUGCGACUCAGACUAUAUUCUUGCACAUUACCAGACUCCAAGAAUGGUACUAUGUCUGUGGGAGAAGCUGCAGAAAGAGCGAGAACCGAACUGCUGUGAGUGAUCUUACUGCAAUCCUAAAUGUUGCAAAUUGACUAAUGAGUAAAAUGAUUUUGCAGAUCCAAUGGCUUCAAAUAUGAUUCUGUUUGUUAAUUCUUUCAGAAGGUCGAACUGCAAUUGUAAAUUGUUUCAUUGGCACUAUAUUAUUGUUGUCAUGGUGGUUAUUCUAUGUAAUCUACGUGUCAGUGUUGCCAUAAGGAAAAUCGCAAAAUAAGCUCAAAGAUCUGCUGGGGCUUUAAGCGCAAAGCGCAAAUAAAUUAUGGGUUUAAUGAAGAAAGGCGCAAAUGGAGAAACAAAAUAUAAAUAUGUAUGUGUAGUCCAAGACUACUAAUUAUAAGCAUGAAUAACAAAUAUAUUAGCAAAGAAAUUUUAAAAAAUUAUGAUAAAUUGAAAUAUCAAUUGUUUAGUGUUGCUUCCUUAGGCUUAAGCUCAUUAUCAAGGUAAUAGAUGCGUUAAAGCCUCGAUGACGACAUUGAAGUGCCAACUAGGCGAGGCGAAGCGCCCUUGCUUUCGGGCUUAUGCGCUUUAACCCGGCCUUUGACAGCACUGUUAUGUGUCAUUUUAUGCUGUCUUGGUAAGUUUUUGAAUCUUGAAAAGAAAAUAACAUAUACCAAUAAGUUGAGUCGUUGGUACUCCACAUCUUCAUGGAGAAUUUAAUUUCAUCGGGUCCAUGUCGGAGAUAGUGUGGCAGUCGUUACACCAUUUGUACAGGUCGCUACUUCUGCGACAAGGAAUUUCGCUACCUUAGGACAGUUAGAGUUAUUGUCGCUGUGUAUCGGGGCUUCCAUUCAAAGCUUAUAACACUUCUCCUUUCGACUUUCCAGCAUCGAGCAUGUGUCAGACUCUAUACAUCGUGUUACUACUUAGCACGAGUCGUGAAUUGGUAUCUUCGUAUAGAUAGUACUCCAACUACCUUAUUAUUACGUAAAAAUAGCACGGGCUGGCCAGUUUUCGGACUGGUCAUUCAAAAAUAGCUAGCAUUUGCCAGGUCAUUGAAAAAUAACCACUAUUUUGCUGCAACAGAGACCGGUCCAGCAUAAUAUACUAGAGUUCGGUGCAUCUGUGUAUGAACUUCCAGCAUAUUAUGCUGGAAUUCCAACACACGAAAAGUUCCAACAUAGUAUACUGGAGAUUCGAGCACUUGUCUAUGAACUUCCAGCAUAUUAUACUGGACCGGUAUAUUUUGCUGGAACUCCAGUAUAUUAUGCUGGAACUUCUAUCAUAUUAUGCUGGAGUUCCAGUAUACUUAUCCUGGAACUCCAGUAUAAUAUGCUGGAGUUAAAGUAUACUUAUGCUGGAACUCCAGCAUAAUAUACUGACGUAUUUUUCGGGUUUUGAACAGUGCUUUCGCUCAGAUUUAUCUUUACAUGAAAAGUGGCUAAAUUUCGAUUACUUUUGAAAGCGUGACUAUUUUUGAAUGACCACUUAUAAAACUGGCUAUUUUUGAAUUUCUCCCAUGUUAAACUAUUGGUAUCUUUUUUAGUGCGUCUUCCUACAUCUAGAGGCAGUAUCCCUUUGACAAGAAAAAAAUGCAAUAAGACAGCUCGGCGUACUAAGCUUUCGCUAUGCAUAAGGUCUGGAAGAGAGGCGGAGCACAAAAAUUUAUUGUAUAACACCUUAUCCUGCAUAGCAACUUUACCAAUUACGUUAAGACUCGCCUUCAAGAAAAAAAAAUGCAAUAUAAAGUGAAAAUUGUGAGACUACAAACUCUCUAAUUGUGCAUAUGAAGAUUUAAUGCAUCAACAUUUGGUUUUAAUUUUACGUGAUUUAGAAGUCAAAAUCGUUACAUCUGUCCAAAUAGAAGCACUUACCAAUCUUGUCAUAUACCUGCAAAUCAUUUUAUUGUCAUUUCAAGAUAAGACUGUCCCUUGAUAUUAAUCAAAUUACUUUUAAACAGAAAAAAAAACAAGCUUUCUAAAACGCUUAUUUAUUACUAAUUUGUUGCAAAUGUAGUUUAAAAAUGGAAUCUUGUUCAAUUUGGUUCAGAAAUGUUUCCUAAUUUUUUUUUGUCAUAAACAUCAAACAAUUGUUGAAUCAUAGAACUGAAUUUGCUUUUAGAAAAUCAAAUCAAAAUGUUUUCCAGAAACUAAAAGCAAUACAAAAAAAAUUCUAGAAAAUAUUCCUCAAAAACAUUUUCUCUUUAAAAGUUUUUUCAAAAACUAAAUUGAAACCAAAUUCAAUUUAGUUUAGGACUGCUAGUGCUAGCGGUUUUUGUUGUAUUUCACAUUUUUUACUGUCUUUUACAUUUUGGCAUUUCCAUUUAUUUGUUGUAUUUUACGAUGUUGAUACUAUUUUUCUGGUUUCUGUUGUGGUUACAGAUCUAUUGUCUCUGAGCCGAAGGUCUCCCAGAAACACCUCUCUAUCCCUUUGGGAUAGGGAUAAGAUUUGCGUAUAUUCUAUCCUCCCCGGACCCUACUAGUGAGAUUCUACUAGGUUAUUGUUGUUGUAAAUUGAAACCAAAUUCAAACACCAAGAAAAACCAAGACAAGUUAUUUCUGUAAAGUAUGGAAUAAAACUACCUUUUAUAU
rnacentral:lncRNA from 1 species